rnacentral:rRNA from 1 species
UACGUAGGGGGCAAGGCGUUGUCCGGAAUUAUUGGGCGUAAAGAGCUCGUAGGCGGUCUGUCACGUCGGAUGUGAAAAUCCAGGGCUUAACCCUGGACCUGCAUUCGAUACGGGCAGGCUAGAGUUCGGUAGGGGAGACUGGAAUUCCUGGUGUAGCGGUGAAAUGCGCAGAUAUCAGGAGGAACACCCGUAGCGAAGGCGGCACUCUGGGCCGAUACUGACACUGAGGAGCGAAAGCGUGGGGAGCGAACAGG